UUAACUAUUAUAUAGUACUCAGACAUCACUAAAAUUCAGAGUUUGAUCCUCUGGCGGGCACAUGCAGGCAGAGCCCACAGUGGAGGCCACGGCCCGCCAAAGCAACAAAAGUAUGUAGACACGGGUGGGAUUCACUCGGCCCCUAGCUCGAGGGCCAGGGCAUCAGUAUCCCGCGCGACUGGUAAUGCUGUGAGUUUAGGACAGCCCCACAAGGUCGAGUAAUCGACGUCGCUUGGGUACACCGGUGAUCGUUUUUUAAUGAUCCUUCCGCAGGUUCACCUACGGAAA
rnacentral:misc_RNA from 1 species